rnacentral:tRNA from 1 species
GCGGACGUGGCGGAAUUAGAAUACGCACAGGCCUGAGGAGCCUGGGGAAGAAUUUCCCGUGUGGGUGCAAAUCCCACCGUCCGCA